CUUCCUACGGGGGGCAGCAGUGAGGAAUAUUGGUCAAUGGGCGGGAGCCUGAACCAGCCAAGUCGCGUGAGGGGAGACGGUCCUAUGGAUUGUAAACCUCUUUAGGCGGGGAGCAAUGCCGGGCACGUGUGCCCGGAGGGAGAGUACCCGCAGAAUAAGCAUCGGCUAACUCCGUGCCAGCAGCCGCGGUAAUACGGAGGAUGCGAGCGUUAUCCGGAUUUAUUGGGUUUAAAGGGUGCGUAGGCGGAAUAUCAAGUCAGCGUUAAAAAUUAGGGG
rnacentral:rRNA from 1 species